rnacentral:rRNA from 1 species
CGUAAGGCGCCGAAUGAGUCAUUAUAAAAUUAACAUCAUCCGAUCCCUAGUCGGCAUAGUUUAUGGUUAAGACUACGACGGUAUCUGAUCGUCUUCGAUCCCCCUAACUUUCGUUCUUGAUUAAUGAAAACAUCCUUGGCAAAUGCUUUCGCAGUAGUUAGUCUUCAAUAAAUCCAAGAAUUUCACCUCUGACAAUUGAAUACUAAUGCCCCCCAAUAUCCCUAUUAAUCAUUACGUCGAUCCCUAGAAACCAACAAAAUAGGUUCGAACGUCCUAUUUCAUUAUUCCAUGCUAAUGUAUUCGAGCGAUUGCUUGCUUUAAACACUCUAAUUUUUUCAAAGUAACAGUCCUAACUCCCCGUAACACCAAAUUAAUGACAUCACGAUUCGUCAGAAGGGAGAAAUCAAUGACGUUAGUACGUACCGAAGCACGACCGACGUAUUGAUCCCGAAAUUCAACUACGAGCUUUUAACUGCAACAACUUUAAUAUACGCUAUUGGAGCUGGAUUACCGCGGCUGC